rnacentral:rRNA from 1 species
UGGGGAAUUUUGGACAAUGGGCGCAAGCCUGAUCCAGCAAUGCCGCGUGCAGGAUGAAGGCCUUCGGGUUGUAAACUGCUUUUGUACGGAACGAAAAGCCUCUCUCUAAUACAGGGGGGUGAUGACGGUACCGUAAGAAUAAGCACCGGCUAACUACGUGCCAGCAGCCGCGGUAAUACGUAGGGUGCAAGCGUUAAUCGGAAUUACUGGGCGUAAAGCGUGCGCAGGCGGUUUUGUAAGACAGUGGUGAAAUCCCCGGGCUCAACCUGGGAACUGCCAUUGUGACUGCAAGGCUGGAGUGCGGCAGAGGGGGAUGGAAUUCCGCGUGUAGCAGUGAAAUGCGUAGAUAUGCGGAGGAACACCGAUGGCGAAGGCAAUCCCCUGGGCCUGCACUGACGCUCAUGCACGAAAGCGUGGGGAGCAAACAGGAUUAGAUACCCUGGUAGUCCACGCCCUAAACGAUGUCAACUGGUUGUUGGGGAUUUAUUUCUUCAGUAACGAAGCUAACGCGUGAAGUUGAUCGCCUGGGGAGUACGGCCGCAAGGUUA